AGUUGGCCAAGGGUAAUCACACCAGUAACCUUGUCUCCUAAAUCAACGAUCACGGAAUCUUCGGUUUUCUGAAGAACAAUACCUGAAAGUACGGAACCCGCUUUUAUGUUUUCAAAUCUUUCAAGUCUUUUAGCAUCCCAACUCUGCUCACGACAGCCGACACGCAUUUUACGAUUCUCUGGAUCACAACUGACGAUAGUAACAGAAAGUGUUUGCCCAACUUUAAAGUGUUCUCUAGCAUCACGAAUGUAAGCUUCGCUCAUUUCCGAAACGGGAAGAAAAGCACGGACACUGUUGUAAAACUCAACUAUAGCUC